GGUCAAGUGAAGAAGCGCAUACGGUGGAUGCCUUGGCAGUCAGAGGCGAUGAAAGACGUGGUAGCCUGCGAAAAGCUUCGGGGAGUCGGCAAACAGACUUUGAUCCGGAGAUGUCUGAAUGGGGGAACCCAGCCAUCAUAAGAUGGUUAUCUUGUACUGAAUACAUAGGUGCAAGAGGCGAACCAGGGGAACUGAAACAUCUAAGUACCCUGAGGAAAAGAAAUCAACCGAGAUUCCCUUAGUAGUGGCGAGCGAACGGGGACUAGCCCUUAAGUGGCUUUGAGAUUAGCGGAACGCUCUGGAAAGUGCGGCCAUAGUGGGUGAUAGCCCUGUACGCGAAAAUCUCUUAGUCAUGAAAUCGAGUAGGACGGAGCACGAGAAACUUUGUCUGAAUAUGGGGGGACCAUCCUCCAAGGCUAAAUACUACUGACUGACCGAUAGUGAACUAGUACCGUGAGGGAAAGGCGAAAAGAACCCCGGAGAGGGGAGUGAAAUAGAUCCUGAAACCGUAUGCGUACAAGCAGUGGGAGCCCACUUUGUUGGGUGACUGCGUACCUUUUGUAUAAUGGGUCAGCGACUUAUUUUCAGUGGCGAGCUUAACCGAAUAGGGGAGGCGUAGCGAAAGCGAGUCUUAAUAGGGCGUCUAGUCGCUGGGAAUAGACCCGAAACCGGGCGAUCUAUCCAUGGGCAGGUUGAAGGUUGGGUAACACUAACUGGAGGACCGAACCGACUACCGUUGAAAAGUUAGCGGAUGACCUGUGGAUCGGAGUGAAAGGCUAAUCAAGCUCGGAGAUAGCUGGUUCUCCUCGAAAGCUAUUUAGGUAGCGCCUCAUGUAUCACUGUAGGGGGUAGAGCACUGUUUCGGCUAGGGGGUCAUCCCGACUUACCAAACCGAUGCAAACUCCGAAUACCUACAAGUGCCGAGCAUGGGAGACACACGGCGGGUGCUAACGUCCGUCGUGAAAAGGGAAACAACCCAGACCGUCAGCUAAGGUCCCAAAGUUAUGGUUAAGUGGGAAACGAUGUGGGAAGGCUUAGACAGCUAGGAGGUUGGCUUAGAAGCAGCCACCCUUUAAAGAAAGCGUAAUAGCUCACUAGUCGAGUCGGCCUGCGCGGAAGAUGUAACGGGGCUCAAACCAUACACCGAAGCUACGGGUAUCACGUAAGUGAUGCGGUAGAGGAGCGUUCUGUAAGCCUGUGAAGGUGAGUUGAGAAGCUUGCUGGAGGUAUCAGAAGUGCGAAUGCUGACAUGAGUAACGAUAAUGGGUGUGAAAAACACCCACGCCGAAAGACCAAGGUUUCCUGCGCAACGUUAAUCGACGCAGGGUUAGUCGGUCCCUAAGGCGAGGCUGAAAAGCGUAGUCGAUGGAAAACAGGUUAAUAUUCCUGUACUUCUGGUUAUUGCGAUGGAGGGACGGAGAAGGCUAGGCCAGCUUGGCGUUGGUUGUCCAAGUUUAAGGUGGUAGGCUGGAAUCUUAGGUAAAUCCGGGAUU
rnacentral:rRNA from 1 species